rnacentral:lncRNA from 1 species
AUGUGUUGCAGCUAUGGAAUGGUGAAAGGGCGAAUCUUGAAGCCUGCCUUUGCUUUCACCAGUCAGGAUUUGGGAUUUCUCUUGAGCUUUGCCAAUUCCGCAGCAAGAAUGAAGCCCAUCAACCUGUUCUUCGCAGCCUGUGGGUUUCUGGGCACUUACCACUUGGGGGCGGCAGCUGCCUUUUGUAGGCACGGCAAGGAACUCCUGAAGAAUGUCCAGGCUUUCGCAGGGGCCACUGCAGCAUCCUUGGUUGCUUCUGUCCUGCUAACGGCACCAGGAAAAAUAGAGGUCCUCCUGGCUAGGAGCUUUGUGCCCAUUUACGCCAGACUGAGACCAGUGGAAUACCAAGGACAGCUUUUCUCAUCCACAAAGCUUCCGAGGCUUCCACAUUUAUGAAGAAAUGUU